CGGCGUGCUUAACACAUGCAAGUCGAACCAUGAUAUUUAAAAUGAGAGCUUCGGCAGGAUUUUUAUCUAUCUUAGUGGCGGACGGGUGAGUAACGUGUGGGCAACCUGCCCUGUACUGGGGAAUAAUCAUUGGAAACGAUGACUAAUACCGCAUGUGGUCCUCGGAAGGCAUCUUCUGAGGAAGAAAGGAUUUAUUCGGUACAGGAUAGGCCCGCAUCUGAUUAGCUAGUUGGUGAGAUAACAGCCCACCAAGGCGACGAUCAGUAGCCGACCUGAGAGGGUGAUCGGCCACAUUGGGACUGAGACACGGCCCAAACUCCUACGGGAGGCAGCAGUGGGGAAUAUUGCACAAUGGGCGAAAGCCUGAUGCAGCAACGCCGCGUGAAGGAUGAAGGGUUUCGGCUCGUAAACUUCUAUCAAUAGGGAAGAAAGAAAUGACGGUACCUAAAUAAGAAGCCCCGGCUAACUACGUGCCAGCAGCCGCGGUAAUACGUAGGGGGCAAGCGUUAUCCGGAAUUACUGGGUGUAAAGGGAGCGUAGGCGGCAUGGUAAGCCAGAUGUGAAAGCCUUGGGCUUAACCCGAGGAUUGCAUUUGGAACUAUCAAGCUAGAGUACAGGAGAGGAAAGCGGAAUUCCUAGUGUAGCGGUGAAAUGCGUAGAUAUUAGGAAGAACACCAGUGGCGAAAGGCGCCUUUCCUGGACUGAAACUGACGCUGAAGGUUCGAAAGCGUGGGGAACCAAACAGGAUUAGAUAUCCUGGUAGUCCACGCCGUAAACGAUGAGUGCUAGGUGUCGGGGAGGAAUCCUCGGUGCCGCAGCUAACGCAAUAAGCACUCCACCUGGGGAGUACGACCGCAAGGUUGAAACUCAAAGGAAUUGACGGGGGCCCGCACAAGCGGUGGAGCAUGUGGUUUAAUUCGAAGCAACGCGAAGAACCUUACCAAGGCUUGACAUCCCGAUGACCGUCCUAGAGAUAGGACUUCUCUUCGGAGCAUCGGUGACAGGUGGUGCAUGGUUGUCGUCAGCUCGUGUCGUGAGAUGUUGGGUUAAGUCCCGCAACGAGCGCAACCCUUAUCUUCAGUAGCCAUCAUUCAGUUGGGCACUCUGGAGAGACUGCCGUGGAUAACACGGAGGAAGGUGGGGAUGACGUCAAAUCAUCAUGCCCCUUAUGUCUUGGGCUACACACGUGCUACAAUGGCUGGUAACAAAGUGACGCAAGACGGUGACGUUAAGCAAAUCACAAAAACCCAGUCCCAGUUCGGAUUGUAGUCUGCAACUCGACUACAUGAAGCUGGAAUCGCUAGUAAUCGCGAAUCAGCAUGUCGCGGUGAAUACGUUCCCGGGCCUUGUACACACCGCCCGUCACACCAUGGGAGUUGGAAGCACCCGAAGUCGGUGACCUAACCGUAAGGAAGGAGCCGCCGAAGGUGAAGCCAG
rnacentral:rRNA from 1 species